GACGAACGCUGGCGGCGUGCUUAACACAUGCAAGUCGAACGGUGAAGGUGGAGCUUGCUCCGCCGGAUCAGUGGCGAACGGGUGAGUAACACGUGGGCAACCUGCCCCUGACUUCGGGAUAACUCCUCGAAAGAGGUGCUAAUACCGGAUACGAAUCCUGCAGGCAUCUGCGGGAUUGGAAAGUUUUUCGGUCCGGGAUGGGCCCGAGGCCUAUCAGCUUGUGGGUGGGGUGUGGGCUUACCAAGGCGACGACGGGUAGCCGGCCUGAGAGGGCGACCGGCCACACUGGGACUGAGACACGGCCCAGACUCCUACGGGAGGCAGCAGUGGGGAAUAUUGCGGAAUGGGCGAAAGCCUGACGCAGCAACGCCGCGUGAGGGAUGACGGCCUUCGGGUUGUAAACCUCUUUCAGCAGGGAAGAAGCGAAAGUGACGGUACCUGCAGAAGAAGCACCGGCUAACUACGUGCCAGCAGCCGCCGUAA
rnacentral:rRNA from 1 species